UCCUGGCUGGCUCAGUAGGUUAGAGCAUGUGACUCUUGAGCUUAGGAUCAUGAGUUCAAGCCCCAUGUUGGGUA
rnacentral:tRNA from 1 species